rnacentral:rRNA from 1 species
UGAAUACGAGACGCUACGGCGUCGAAGCAGUCUAUGUCAUACUUCCAAGAAAAGCUUGCACUGUCAUAAACAAAUAAUGCCUGUACCAUAACCGACACAGGUGGGUAGGUAGAGUAUACUAAGGGGCGCGAGAUAACUCUCUCUAAGGAACUCGGCAAAAUGACUCCGUAACUUCGGGAGAAGGAGUGCCUUAUUUAUAAGGUUGCAAUAACAAGAUCCAAGCAACUGUUUAUCAAAAACACAGGUCUCCGCUAAGUCUAAGACGAUGUAUGGGGGCUGACGCCUGCCCAGUGCCAGAAGGUUAAAGAAGUUGGUUAGCAUUAGCGAAGCUGAUAACUGAAGCCCUGGUGAACGGCGGCCGUAACAAUAACGGUCCUAAGGUAGCGAAAUUCCUUGUCGGGUAAGUUCCGACCCGCACGAAAGGCGUAAUGAUUUGGAUACUGUCUCAGAGAGGGGCUCGGUGAAAUAGACUUGUCUGUGAAGAUGCGGACUACCUGCACCAGGACAGAAAGACCCUAUGAAGCUUUACUGUAACUUGAAAUUGAAAUUGGACUUUAUUUGCGCAGUAUAGGUGGGAGGCAUUGAUAAUAUUCUUGCGGGAAUGUUGGAGCCAUCAGUGAGAUACCACUCUUGUAAUGUUAGAUUUCUAACUUUGGAUCAUUAUCUGGUCAAAGGACAGUUUCAGGCGGGCAGUUUGACUGGGGCGGUCGCCUCCUAAAUGGUAACGGAGGCGCACAAAGGUUUCCUCUGAACGGGUAGAAAUCGUAUCUAGAGUGUAAAGGCAUAAGGAAGCUUGACUGUGAGACCUACAAGUCGAGCAGGGACGAAAGUCGGUCUUAGUGAUCUGACGGUGCUGAGUGGAAAGGCCGUCACUCAACGGAUAAAAGUUACUCUAGGAUAACAGGCUGAUCUCCCCCAAGAGUUCACAUCGACGGGGAGGUUUGGCACCUCGAUGUCGGCUCAUCGCAUCCUGGGGCGGUAGUACGUCCCAAGGGUUGGGCUGUUCGCCCAUGAAAGCGGUACGCGAGCUGGGUUCAGAACGUCGUGAGACAGUUCGGUCCAUAUCCGGUGUAGGCGUUAGAAUAUUGAGAGGAGCCUUCUUUAGUACGAGAGGACCGAGAAGGACAUACCUCUGGUGUACCAGUUAUCGUGCCAACGGUAAACGCUGGGUAGCUAUGUAUGGAGAGGAUAACCGCUGAAAGCAUCUAAGUGGGAAGCCCACCUCAAGAUAAGUAUUCGC